AUGAGUCUCCUCUGUUGGAACUACCAUGGGGCUGGCAAACCUGCGGCGGUUCGAGAGCUUCGUGAACUAAUGAAGCAAUAUGCCCCCUCUGUACUUUGCAUACUUGAGACUCAAAUAGAGGGAACUAGAGUAGAGAAUAUGGUUGGUUCCUUAGGUUAUAAUAAGAGCUCCGCUGUUAGUAUCUCGGGGAGAAGUGGUGGUCUAGGAGUUUUUUGGAAUGAAGAAAUAAAGCUUGAGAUUGUUGGUUAUUCGAAGUAUCAUAUUGAUGCACUCAUUGAUAACCUUGUAGAUGUGAAAACAAGGGUAACUUUUGUCUAUGGGAAAGCUCAGGUCAAUGAAAGAUACAAAAUGUGGGACAUGCUCAGAGGAAUCGUAGGGGCCAAUGAUAUACCGUGGUUAGUCCUGGGUGACUUCAAUGAGGUGUUACAUGAACAUGAACACGAUGGAGUUGGAAACAGAAGCCAGACACAGAUGGAUGCUUUUAGGGAUGCCCUGGAUACUUGCGGAUUGACUCAUAUAGGUUACAUUGGCACUGAUGUUUGA
rnacentral:rRNA from 1 species